rnacentral:rRNA from 1 species
GACGAACGCUGGCGGCGUGCUUAACACAUGCAAGUCGAACGGAAAGGCCCUGCUUUUGUUGGGUGCUCGAGUGGCGAACGGGUGAGUAACACGUGAGUAACCUGCCCUUGACUUUGGGAUAACUUCAGGAAACUGCGGCUCAUACCGGAUAUGAUCUCCUGCUGCAUGUUGUGGGUUGGAAAGUUUCGGCGGUUGGGGAUGGACUCGCGGCUUAUCCGCUUGUUGGUGGGGUAGUGGCUUACCAAGGCUUUGACGGGUAGCCGGCCUGAGAGGGUGACCGGCCACAUGGGGACUGAGAGACGGCCCAGACGCCGACGGGAGGCAGCAGUGGGGAAUAUUGCACAAUGGGCGGAAGCCUGAUGCAGCAACGCCGCGUGCGGGAUGACGGCCUUCGGGUUGUAAACCGAUGUCGCCUGUGACGAAGAGGGAGUGACGGUAAUGGGUAAAGAAGCACCGGCUAACUACGUG